rnacentral:rRNA from 1 species
UACGGAGGGCGCAAGCGUUGCUCGGAAUUACUGGGCGUAAAGCGCGUGCAGGCGGUCGAGUAAGUCGGUUGUGAAAUCCCCAGGCUCAACUUGGGAACUGCAUCCGAAACUGCUCGGCUAGAGUCCCGGAGAGGGAGGCGGAACUCCCAGUGUAGGGGUGAAAUCCGUAGAUAUUGGGAAGAACACCGGCGGCGAAAGCGGCCUCCUGGACGGUGACUGACGCUGAGACGCGAAAGCGUGGGGAGCAAACAGG